UAUAAAAGAAUAUUGAGUGUUCUGUGUCCUGUGCAGAAUAAUCAAAGCUAAACGAACCUCGUUUUCUCAAUGAUCGAUAACUUGCUUGUCGAUGACUUGUUUAUCUUCCCCAUCAUCAAUGGUUGAACGAUUAUCACCAGAGUGAACGGAAUCAACUUCAUUUAUCUUGCCACUUUCUUGCUCAACAUAGUCCUCACCAUCCUCAGAUACUGAGCUAAUAUCCAUCUCCUUUUCUGGACUGUCAAGUUGCACACACUCAGCAACUGUAUCCUGCACAGAACUGUUAUUUUCUGAAUCGAGGCUUCUAUUCGAUGGGGUUACGUCUCCUUUUCUUACCACGUUGAAGACAAUACCGUUGUUAGUCCUUUCUGGCUGUAGAAGGUCACCUUCACCUACCAUAAUGCUUGAACUACCCGCGGGGACUCUAAUACUGAAGUCUCUUUGAUCAAAUUCGGUGUCUGAAGUUCUAUCUGGAGUUGAUACCCUUGGGCUCGGGGAGAACAGGUC
rnacentral:misc_RNA from 1 species